rnacentral:rRNA from 1 species
UACGGAGGGGGCUAGCGUUGUUCGGAAUUACUGGGCGUAAAGCGCGCGUAGGCGGACCUGCAAGUCGGGGGUGAAAGCCCGAGGCUCAACCUCGGAACUGCCUUCGAUACCGCGGGUCUCGAGUCCGGGAGAGGUGAGAGGAAUUCCUAGUGUAGAGGUGAAAUUCGUAGAUAUUAGGAAGAACACCAGUGGCGAAGGCGGCUCACUGGCCCGGUACUGACGCUGAGGCGCGAAAGCGUGGGGAGCAAACAGG